UACGGGGGGAGCAAGCGUUGUUCGGAUUUACUGGGCGUAAAGGGCGCGUAGGCGGCGCGACAAGUCACUUGUGAAAUCUCCGGGCUUAACUCGGAGCGGCCAAGUGAUACUGUCGUGCUAGAGUGCGGAAGGGGCAACUGGAAUUCUCGGUGUAGCGGUGAAAUGCGUAGAUAUCGAGAGGAACACCUGCGGCGAAGGCGGGUUGCUGGGCCGACACUGACGCUGAGGAGCGAAAGCAUGGGGAGCGAACAGG
rnacentral:rRNA from 1 species